CCAAACCGCCCGCUCUUUUCUGUGGCUGCUCAGACCCGCCGAGCCUCUUCUGCGGCUGCGCAGGCUCCGCCCGGGUCCUUCUGCGCCUGCGUGGUCCGAGAGCCUGAUCCUGAGAUGCAGAAACUAAUUUCAACUCCAGUUUGCUGCUACCCCGCCCCCCACCGCCCAUGCAUGUCAUCGAACUGGUAGAAAACCCGGCAGAUGCCAUCUCAACUGAAUGAUCACGAUGAGUAAUAUGUACAAAAGAGUGUAUUUUUAAAGAGGACGCAAUGAAAAGGAAGUCCCCCUCCCGCCGCAGUCCUUGCCAUACAACCCCCUCCUUGGAGACCCUCCUAAGACCAGGUUCUGACUCUCCUUCUGAAGACUGGAGUUACACAGGUAGGUGCUCUCCUCCUGAACCCUUCUCCCUAGCUUCUGUUCACUCCAUAAAGGGUGGCAUACUAGACACAUGGCUUUAUAUUUUGCUUUUUGCACUUAACAAUCUGCUUUGGGGAGCAUCCUUGUUCUUCUGUGUCUCCCUCUCUCUCUGCCCCUCCCCCCCUCGCACGCUGUC